rnacentral:misc_RNA from 1 species
CACAAAUAUGAAGGCGGGCUGGAACCUCUCGGGGUUACAGCCUUGCCGAAUUAUUCACCCUUGUCUUUUGCGUACUUCUUGUUUCCUUGGUGGGUUCGCCCACCACUAGGACAAACAUAAACCUUUUGUAAUUGCAAUCAGCGUCAGUAACAAAUUAAUAAUUA